UAUACCCAAUGAUACCUCCUGCUAGAGCCUUCAGACAAGCUCUCAACGUCCACUUGCUGGAGAGCAUAAGGUAGUCAAGCUUCUGAGACUUCAGAAACAUCCAAAGGAGGCACUGCCUGUGGUAGUCUGCCUUUCUUU
rnacentral:snRNA from 1 species